rnacentral:rRNA from 1 species
AUUGAACGCUGGCGGCAGGCCUAACACAUGCAAGUCGAGCGAGCGGCGGACGGGUGAGUAAUGUCUGGGGAACUGCCUGAUGGAGGGGGAUAACUACUGGAAAAGGUAGCUAAUACCCCAUACCAUCAGGGGUGCCCAGAUGGGAUUAGCUAGUAGGUGGGGUAACGGCUCACCUAGGCGAGGAUCCCUAGCUGGUCUGAGAGGAUGAGCCGCCACACGGGAACUGAGACACGGUCCAGACUCCUACGGGAGGCAGCAGUGGGGAAUAUUGGACAAUGGGCGCAAGCCUGAUGAAGCCAGGCCGCGUGUGUGAAGAAGGCCUUCGGGUUGUAAAGCACGUUCAGCGGGGAGGCGUUACCCGCAGAAGAAGCACCGGCUAACUCCGUGCCAGCAGCCGCGGUAAUAC